rnacentral:tRNA from 1 species
GCCCGAGUGGUGAAACUGGUAGACACGCGGGACUUAAAAUCCCGUUCCCAGUAAUGGGAGUGCCGGUUCGAUUCCGGCCUCGGGUACCA